rnacentral:misc_RNA from 1 species
GGGAAAUUGAGCGACAUUCAUGCAUCAUUUGAAUUUCCUCAUCCAAUCAAGUUUACAAGAGCAGCAGAAGACUAAAGCCAACAUAAAUACAUAACUUUCAUUUCCAGCUGGUUAGUUAAUUUGGCCUUUUCAUUUCCAGCCGAUAUACAUAAUCUUCACAGCCCUCCUCCAGGAUUGAGUCAGGUCCUUUAUGACAUUACUACUGGGAUAGUUUUCCCUCCUUUGUCUUCCCUGGUUUGGGGUUCCAACCCUUUUGUAAUAAUGAUAAUAAUAAAACCUCAAUGUAAGAGGCUUAAAUAUCUAUAAGCAUCA